rfam:Rattus norvegicus chromosome 15, whole genome shotgun sequence.
GGAGAGAUGGCUCAGUGACUAAGAGCACUGACUGCUCUUCCAGAGGUCCUGAGUUCAAUUCCCAGCAACUCCA